AUUGAACGCUGGCGGCAGGCCUAACACAUGCAAGUCGAGCGGAGCGGCGGAAGGGGGAGUAAUGCCUAGGAAUCGGCCUGGUAGUGGGGGAUAACGUCCGGAAACGGGCGCUAAUACCGCAUACUAUCAGAUGAGCCUAGGUCGGAUUAGCUAGUUGGUGGGGUAAAGGCCUACCAAGGCGACGAUCCGUAACUGGUCUGAGAGGAUGAGCAGUCACACUGGAUCUGAGACACGGCCCAGACUCCUACGGUAGGCAGCAGUGGGGACUCUUGGACCAUGGGCGAAAGCCUGAUCCAGCCAUGCCGCGUGUGUGAAGAAGGUCUUCGGAUUGUAAAGCACUUUAAGUUGGGAAGCGUUACCAACAGAAUAAGCACCGGCUAACUUCGUGCCAGCAGCCGCGGUAAUAC
rnacentral:rRNA from 1 species